rnacentral:rRNA from 1 species
ACAUGCCUACAUCAUAGCGUUAUUGCAUCAGAUCCCAUUAGAACUCCGUAGUUAAGCAUGCUCAGGCUAGAGUAGUACUGGGAUCGGUGACCACUCGGGAAGUCCUAGUGUUUUACAUGCU